CUAAAUAUGUAGACUAAUCUUUACCUUUGUUA
rnacentral:tRNA from 1 species